GAAGGGAAGGAUUUGGGGAGGGGACUUUCCACACAGCCAUGAAGGAGUCAUCGUGCAUGCUGGGUGCUUUAAGGUCAUGAGUGCUCCUUCACCCAUUGCUCGGCACCCAGCAAGGGGGAAUUCCCCCACACCAAACGUGGAGGAGGCAAGGACGCAACACCCCGCCCCCCCGCGGUGGCUGGGACUCUCGAGGCAGGCCAAAGUCCCACACCAAGGUUGCGCUCAGGCCCCCUUUUCUCCACAAGUGCCUUCCGCAACCUGAGAAAGCGUCCCUGAGAAGCUGCCCCAGUGGGGUGAACUAGGGAAAGAAAGGGGCACGCUGCACGACCGUCUUCCUUCACCAACACAGUGCCGGCUGCCCUGAGUGUCAGCACCCAAAAUUGUCUCCUCCUUGCUCUACCUGUGGGAAGACCAUCCCUCUCCACAGGGGCCACGCCUGCCCUGCUAGUGGAAGAGAACGCCCUUAUUCCUAAACAUGCAAUGUUAAUGGCAACACAGACUCCCCAGUCCCUCUUCUACAAUUCCAGAUAUCUCCAGGCCCUGAAAAGGUUUCCCCAUAACUUAUUUAGCAAACCCUGGCCUAAGUAGACAUGAGACUGCCUGUAGACCUCCCCCCCCACACACUUUGGGUGAAUAUCCCAUGCUUUCAGGGGGGAGGUAACCCUGUGUUUGAUCAUGGCAUUAUCCCAACCUUGCUGAAUUAUCGAUGGCAUUAGAAUAUGUAUCGUAUUAUUUUUCUUAAAGUCCAGAAACAGGAAUUCUGUGACACAUGGUCACAUUUCUGUUGCGCUCUGACAAGCCUGCCUUCACCAGCCCUGAGCAUUGGGAUCACCGGAUACCAGAGGCUGUGCUGAGUGCUCAGCAGGCUUCAGUUCCUUUGACCCCAGCAGCUCUGUUUAUUUCCAAGUGGUCGAUGGAGAAACUGAGGAACCUUACUGGAGUCACAUUAGUUAACUAAGAGAUACUGCCGUCUUGAAUCCAGGGAGCUGGGGACUUCCGGAGCCAGUUAUAUCUGUUCCUGCCUACUGGGGGCAACUGGAGACCCCCAGAAGCAGCCCAGAGUGCCAGCCUGCUCAGAUUGAACCUGUCCAGCCCACCCGGGAGGAGCUUAGCACAGAAGUUCCCAUGGAAAGUUUGAGAUUUCAUGGAAUUGAAACCAGAUAGCUCC